GUGGAUUAGAUACCCUGGUAGUCCACGCCCUAAACGAUGUCAACUAGGUGUUGGGUGGGUAAAACCAUUUAGUACCGGAGCUAACGCGUGAAGUUGACCGCCUGGGGAGUACGGCCGCAAGGUUAAAACUCAAAGGAAUUGACGGGGACCCGCACAAGCGGUGGAUGAUGUGGAUUAAUUCGAUGCAACGCGAAAAACCUUACCUACCCUUGACAUGUCCGGAAUCCUGAAGAGAUUUGGGAGUGCCCGAAAGGGAACCGGAACACAGGUGCUGCACGGCCGUCGUCAGCU
rnacentral:rRNA from 1 species